rnacentral:rRNA from 1 species
UCCAGACUCCUACGGGAGGCAGCAGUGGGGAAUAUUGGACAAUGGGGGGAACCCUGAUCCAGCGACGCCGCGUGAGUGAAGAAGUAUUUCGGUAUGUAAAGCUCUAUCAGCAGGGAAGAAAGAAAUGACGGUACCUGACUAAGAAGCCCCGGCUAACUACGUGCCAGCAGCCGCGGUAAUACGUAGGGGGCAAGCGUUAUCCGGAUUUACUGGGUGUAAAGGGAGCGUAGACGGUCCUGCAAGCCAGAUGUGAAAGCCCGGGGCUCAACCCCGGGACUGCAUUUGGAACUGUAAGGCUAGAGUGUCGGAGAGGCAGGCGGAAUUCCUAGUGUAGCGGUGAAAUGCGUAGAUAUUAGGAGGAACACCAGUGGCGAAGGCGGCCUGCUGGGCUUUUACUGACGCUGAGGCUCGAAAGUGUGGGGAGCAAACAGGAUUAGAUACCCUCGUAU